rnacentral:rRNA from 1 species
GUGGGGAAUAUUGCGCAAUGGGGGAAACCCUGACGCAGCAACGCCGCGUGAGUGAGGAAGGACUUCGGUCUGUAAAGCUCUGUUAAUGUGGAAAAAUGGCAGUUGGUCUAAUAGGCCGAUUGUUUGAUGGUACACAUAGAGGAAGCACCGGCUAACUUCGUGCCAGCAGCCGCGGUAAUACGAAGGGUGCAAGCGUUGUUCGGAUUUAUUGGGCGUAAAGCGCGCGUAGGCGGACCUGCAAGUCAGAUGUGAAAGCUCGGGGCUCAACCUCGAAACUGCGUCUGAAACUACAGGUCUAGAAUCUCGGAGGGGGAAGGGGAAUAUCGCAUGUAGGGGUAAAAUCCGUAGAUAUGCGAUGGAACACCAGAGGCGAAGGCGCCUUCCUGGACGAGUAUUGACGCUGAGGCGCGAAAGCGUGGGGAUCAAACAGGAUUAGAUACCCCAGUAGUCC